AAAAUCUGCCCAUGGAAAGCAUGGUGGGAGGAGGAGUGUAGGAGGAAGAGACAAGCCAGUUUUUCUGCUUCUGAUGGCACUUCUAGUCGCAUGGUGGUAGGGGCAGUGGGUGACUGAGCACCUGGGGAACAGAAAAGCCAUGAACCGAUGGGAAGAUGGGUGCAAAUGGGACAUGUUUGGGGCAGAAGUAAGUGGAUGAAUAGGGAAGAGAGGAGGAGUUCAAUUUUGGAUAUAGGAAGUUUGAGAUGCCUAGUAGCUAUCCAGAUGGGGAGAUCAAUAAGCGACUAGAUAGUUCGGAGCUGGCUGUAGAUAUAAAUCUGAAAGUUAGUGAUGUCGUUUGAAAGCCAUGAGAUUAGGUGAGCUCACUGAGGAAUAGAGAAAAAGAGGACCACCCCCGAAUCCAGGCUGUCUGACAUGAAAACUCAGGGAGGAGAAGAGAAACUGACAAAAACAGAUUGAAAAAGAGGGAUCAGUGUUGUAGGAGGAAGAUCUCAGAGAAGAGACAGGGACCAACUUUGUCAGAUGGGCUGCUGUGUCAAAACCGCCUGGACGCUGAAUGGAUGGCUGACGUCAGCAACAUAAAGCCUGGAGAGAUACUCUUCCACUGACCUUGGAGGAGUAAGCUGCUACCACGUGAACAGUUGAGAGACGACCACGUGGUUUGGCACAGUGGGCAGCUUAAAGGAUCUGAGGCCUCAGUGAUAAAGCAGCAAGAACAUGAAUCCUGCCAGUACUUUGGCGUUCCUGGGCACUCUGGCCAACUGCAGGCCCUAGUUCAUGGGGGCCCACCUGGUUCACACCGACCUCACAGACAAGCAGGGCAGGCUGGCAGAUUUUGAAGCAAGGGCAUGCUCUGUUUUUUCUCUUAAGCUCACCGACAGAACACUCCCUCUUCCUCCCAAGCAGGGGCCUGAACAGGGCCAGAAUUGGGGGGAAGCCAGCGCAGGGUCAGAGUCUGUCUUGAUGUGGGAAGCAGAGAGCAAUUUGAUAAAGAAAAGGAGAAGGCAAUGUGAUGCAGGAUAAGAAGAGAAAAGAUUAUGUGAUGCAGGGCCAUGAGCCAAGGAAUGAGGACAACAUCCUUCCUGGAAAAGACAAAGAAACAGAUUCUCCCCUGGAGCCUCCAGAAGGAGCCAGCCCAGAUGACCCUUUGAUUUUAGCUCACUGAGACUGAUUUCACAUUUCUGACCUCCAGAACUAUAAAAGAAUCAAUUUGUGUACCAAUCCAUCUCCCCGUCUUGUUAGUUUGUGCGAGACCAUCUUUCUAAGACUCUGUUGUGUCCUCUGUAAAGUGGGAAUAAUAAAAUAUCUAUUUCAUAGAGUUGCUGUUAGAUUAUGAUCAUUCAUGUAAAAUGCUCAGGAUAGGACUUGGCCCGUGGAAGGUUCUUUAUAAAGUUGGCUACUCAUUUGGUCUAGACAGGAAGAUUGCAACAUUUUUUGCCUCCUUUCGACUAACUCAAGUAGAUUACUAAGUAGCUCUUGGAAUACAGAAAGGGUUGAAUAUUUAUUAACUGUUCGAAUGUCACUAUCCUAUCAGGCACUCCGACCCUAUUGGCUUCAUCUUCUCUGAUCGUCUUUUCUCAAGAGUUGACUGCAAGAUACAGAAAAGGCAAAUGGAUGGAAUGACUGGAAAAUAACCCCUGAAUGAGAGAACUAAAGAGGGUCUUGAAGGGAUUUCUUUGCCUAUUAUCUGAGUUCAGGGAAAGUCACACAAAACAGGUGAAAGGUUAUCCUGUUUGUAAAGAUCUCUAGCGAGGGAGUGCCCACAACCUUUCCUAGUAAGGUCCCUUGGUGCAGAUGAAGACUGUUCUUGAUUUUCAAAGAAGACUGCACUGAUGUCUGUAAGUCUCCUCUGUGGAAAGAAAUAGAACGGUUUUGUUUUUGAGAACGGCUUAAUACACAGUGCCGCUCAAAAGAGUCUGUUGUGAAAGUGGCCACGUGUUAGUUACCUGGCCGUGUCUCCGUUUAGGUUUCAGGACCACUGAAGGUAAGAGGCAGCAGAGUUGUACAGAGAUUUCUUUUCCUUACCCUGGAUUACACUUCAAAAUGUCACGAAUGAAAAAGAAAACAUAUAAUAAAUCUAUUUACUUACAUUAUUCAUCCCUACAACUGUGUUUUCUGUAGACUCUUGUAUUUUCUAUUUUUCGCUUCGUGGAUUCGGCAUUUGUAUUCUGUUGUUUAUAGGUACUGGUUACAUCUGCAUAGAUGAAGUGCUCUGUGGUUUCUACCGUGAGCCCUUGGGGGGCGGGAACAGCUUCUACACGUUUCUCUUGUAUAGUGUUGGGUGGAACUUCUUGUGCCCCAGGGCUGUUUUAUGAUGACAGAGAUGACACUAUAAAACGAAGCUAAAGGAACAUUGUUUACUUUUAUUUUAAUAUUUAUUUAUUUAUUUUCAAAGAACAUUAAAAUUUUUUUUAGCUUAUUUAUUUUGAGAGAGAGAGAGAGAGAGAGAAUGAGAAUGAGUGGGGUAGGGGCAGAGAGAGAGGAAGGUAGAAUUCCAAGCAGCCUCCACGUUGUCCGUGCAGUGCACAACGCAGGGCUUGAUCCCAUGAACCAUGAUGGAGUCAGACGCUUAACUGACUGAGCCACCCAGACACCCCUCAAAGGACUAUUUUUUUUUUAAAUAGGGUCUUAUGCUGUUGGGUCUUUAGGGGGUGUCUCUCUAUUUACAGAGUAAAGAACUGAGGAAGAAGUGCUGUAUCAUCAUGACAAGCAACUGUGGCCAAAUGGCAUAGGCCAGUGAUUUUCUAAAGGCCUGGAAAAUCCUGAUCCUGUUGGAGAUGGCCGUGGAAACAAAUGAAUCUGGUUCACUGACCUGGCCUCUGAUGCCAGAUGAAGGUUUAGCCUAAGGAUGAAAGACCAAGUUCCCUUCUAUCUCUGAACAUGUCUCAACCCUGGACAUUGUCCUUCUCCAUCACUGAAUCCCAUGUUCGCCCACCCCCGUGGUUAGCAGCUCAUUAGAGGGGGGUGCAUUUUUCUUAAUUUAGCCUGGAAUGGCUGAUGCUUGUUGGGCUAACCGGGUGUGAUGCCUGGUGCAGGAACAAAGUCAGUCUGAAGUCAGGUGACCAGGAUGCCUUUCUCUCCGAUGCAGACUCAACUACCCAAACUGGUCAUGGAGGCAGACAUCUCUUAAUCUCUUGUUUAGCCAACAGAGAUUGACGGCAGAGGUGGCAUUAGAAGGUUUGCUGCCUCACAGGUGCCAUCUGAUGGUGGCAGUUGAGCAGAACCUUAGUAGGUCUUUCGUGACAGCUUUGUAAGACACUGACUAUAAGCCACGCACAAAUUACUUUUUUAUUUAAACAUUUUUUAAUCUUCAUUUUUCAGAGAGUGAGAGAGAGAGACAGAGACAGAGCAUGAGCGGGGGAGGAGCAGAGAGACAGGGAGACACAGAAUCCCAAUCAGGCUCCAGGCUCUGAGCUGUCAGCACAGAGCCCAACGUGCUGCUCCUACCCACAAACUGUGAGAUCGUGACCUGAGCCGAAGCCGGACGCGUAACCUACUGAGCCACCCAGAUUCGAAGCCAGGGUUGAGUCCUCCUAACAGGGCGAGUUCUCUGACAAGGAAGUUUUGCAAGCAAAUUUACAGCUGGAGUCAAGCUCGUCAGUGAGGGCCAGAGGGGGAACUGUCGCAAUCCACUGGGUGUUUGAAAAAUGCCUCUAACGUGUGUGGGCUAGAAUACAUUUUGUUUUUCUGUGGGCAUAUUCAUUUAACAAGGGCAGCCUUUGAGGAACGAUCAAAAACUGUUUGUCAUUUUUCCAAAUCAUCUCUCUCUGCAGUGACCAUGACUUAAUCCUGAAGGAAAACAAGUCUUUUCCCUUCUGGUCUCUGCGCUCUUGAAGGACAUUUGGGCCUGAUGUCCCAGGACUUAAGGCUGAUCCCGGCACAGAUGAGGACAGGAAGAGGUGACUAUGCAAUACUGAAGCUUGAGGAAGACUGAUGGGAGUUCAACCUCAUUUAGACUUGCUCGGGAACAAAUUGUCAAAGUUGUUUGAAGUAAAUAAGCAACCUGGAUCCCAGCCCCUUCCUUUCCUUCCUUCGUUCCUUUGUUCUUGGCUUCCUCAUUCCCCCUCCCUACUUCCCUCCCUUCUUCCCUCUCUCUCCAUCUUCCUCUCUCCUCCUGUCUUUUCUUUCUCGCUUUCCCACCCUUUUGUCCUGAAGCCAGAAGAGCAAGCUAACACCCAGUUGUCAGUUCUGGAUAAUCAAGAUGUUAAUUCUUCAAACGGAGAGAAUUUCUAACACAAAGCCAGAUACCUUUCUACGUGUUACGCAGUACUUCUAGUCAAAUACUGUGGCCAUGGAAGUAAGGUCAAGCAAGAAAUUGGCAGCAACUAUUCAGAACACGUAUACAACAGCACGGGACCCAUUUACUCCAAUGGAGAAAGGGAGUGUAUCAUGGAAAAGUCGCCGUGGGAAUCACUGCAAGUGGGGCAGAAGCCCCAAUCUGAAUUUGCUACAGGGAUAUUUGGAAGAAUGGCUGCCUUAACUCAGCCAUAGGAUCUGGACAAGGACAGAGGAAAUGGGGUUGGAGAGAAAAGGGAGUUUCUGAGAGGCGUGCACAAGGGAAAAUCAAAGGGACUUAUUGCAGUGUAGGUGUCUAGAGGGUUAGCAUUAAAGGACACAUGUAAGUAGAGGACAGCGGUGACUAAAAGCCAUAAACAGGUGACAUUUUCAUCAGCAGUGAUAGAUGCAAAGAAUCAAAUUCAAAGACUGUUAAACAACCUGCCAUCUCUCUCUUUCUUUCAUUGUUAUCUGUCAUCUAGCUAGCUAGAUAUCAAGUUACUUAUCUCUCCACCAAAUCUCACUUUUAACAAGAGAGAAGUCAUUCACAAAGAAGUGUACAUUAUUGCAAGAAAAGAUAAGUGCAAGAUAAAUAAAAAUUGAAGCAAAGGGAAAGUGAACACAGAACAAUACAAGGAACUGUGCACAAAAUGUGCCUGACAUGAGGUCCUCUACACAUGCUUGGGUAGACCAGUAGGAGUAGUUGAAUAAGGUAUGGUGAGGAGGGAUUCGUAAAUAAUGACUUACGUAUUCUAUCAGCUAGCUACGAUAAGAAUCACUUAUGAUGGACAUAAUAUCCAUGUAGUCAAAGUAGACUAGAUAUCUAGAAGAAGCACCACUAUUCCUUAUAUGCAGCCAGGGGGUUUCUCCCAGGCCUCCCCAGAAAGGCUUUCAUGCAAAUAUACUUACUGUAAAUCUGGGGACAGAUUUUAUAGAAGUGUUUAUUAUAAUAUUCCUCAGUAUGGGAUGAUGGCCCAGUAUCAAGUGCAGUUCAAUAUAAGCUGACCUUUGGGUUUGGAGCCGGGUAGGCCAACAGUUCUAUGCUACUCUAUGAUGGUCAAGUAUGUCUGAGAAGCUAUGUUCAGUCGUGGGACAUACUUUAUCGAAGAAAAUUAUCAUUUACAAAGAACGCUGUGCAUACCAUAUUUUUUAUAGAUGCUUGCAGAAUUAAUAAAUGUUUGAAUGAACGUUGGUAGGGACAGGGUUAUAUUUCACUCGUGUAAGAGAGGCUGUUAUUUAUUUAUUUUUUUCCCUCUCCAUGCAAUUGUAUGUCAGUUGUCUACCUUUAGGGUUAAACCGUGAGUUCCACGUGAGCAGGAAUUUUGUCUUGUUUGUCUUUGUAGCCCCAAUCAUGUCCGGUAUAGGAAGGCAGUCAGAUAAUAGUUUGUUGAAGAAAUAAAUGACUGAGUAAGCACACCGCAGAUUCACACACAGAACUGUGUAUGCGAGAGACUGAUCUAUAAUUUUAUCUCAGUAUAGUUUCAUCUCAGGGUAAGGCAGAGACGUAAAAUAAUCCUAAAGUUUUGAGGCAAGGUAUUUGUCAUGGAAAAACCACCGGGAAGAAAUGUUUAAAGGGCAUUUGUGUUUAUUCUUGUGGCAUAGAGAACUCCCUUCUCUCUGGUGCAGUAAACAGGGCUCAGCAGCCUAUAUUCUUUCACUGCCUUUCAUACUGUUAUUAGGGCAGCUGCGUUGUUGAACUCCAACAAGCUGUCUGCUUGCGUACUGGGGUAGAGGAUGUUUAUUUGGUGCCGGUGUUAGAGGGGAAGGCGCACAUCCAAUGUCCUCGUCACCUUUGAUUACUGAUCCUCCAGUGGGACGAUUUUAUGAAAAGUGAGAAAACGUUGCAUUUUCCAAAUCCUUCAAUUUCCACAUCCUCCAACUUGUUCUCCAUCUUUAGAGACAGCACACACUUGUGGUUGAAAGCCUCGGCUCCGGAGCCCCAGGAUCAGAGUUCAACUUUUGGCUGCACCACUUAUGUAUCGUGUGGCACUGGGCCCACUAGUUAACUGUUUGUGCCUCGGUGUUUUCAUCAGUAAAGGAGAAAGAAUAAUAAUACUACCUACAUCAAAGAGGUGUUGGGAGGAUUAAAUAAUUCAUGCAAAGCAGUUAAAAGUGACUGCCACAUAGUACUCAAGAGAUGUUAGCUGAUAUUAUUAUUGUUCACUGAUGCUUUCUUGCUGUUGGUUUUUGCCAUGUUUCAUAUAAAAAUAUUUAUAGUUAAGAAUAAAAUGAGAAUACCGUCACAUAUCUAGUAUGCUCAAAAUAUUACUAGCCUAUACAGGGAAUAUUAACAUUGCCCUCUAAGACCUUAUGAUCUACUUACUGAGGCAAAGUACAGAACUCACGAGAAAUAGGAACACAUACAAAUAGGAGUAGGAACAUGUACAACAAUACAAACACCACCACGUGGUGGUAACUUACCAUUUGGCAAAUCAUGGACAUAUGUAUAUGGACAAUAGGUUUUAUUUUUUCUUGCUCUUUUUUUUUAAUAUGAAAUUUAUUGUCAGAUUGGUUUCCAUGCAACACCCGGUGCUCAUCCCAACAGGUGCCCUCCUCAGUUGGACAAUAGGUUUAAAAAAUACAUGUUUACUGAAUGAAUUUGUGAAAAAAGUUGGUAACAUUUUUUAUUUUGAUAUUUCUUUAUACUAUAUGCUGGGAGAGGGGGCAACUUAAAAGAAAAUGCAAAUGUAGGGUGCCUGGGUAGCUUAGUCAGUUAAGUGCUUCACUUCGGCUCAGGUCAUGAGCUCACGGUUCAUGAGUUCGAGUCCCACGUUGGGCUCUCUGCUGUCAGUACAGAGCCUGCUUCAGAUCCUGCCCUCGCCCCUCCCCCACUUUCUCUCUCUCUCUCUCUCUUUCUCUGUCUCUCUCAAAAUAAGUAAACUUAAAAAAGAAAAGAAAAUGCAAAUACGAAAAGCAGACUAGGCAGAGAUCAUGGUAGUCCUGAAGUCUCCAAAGGUAUGAAAAAUUACAGAUUAUGUGGGCCAUUAAUAAAUGAGUAAAACACAAAGCAGGCUUCUAGCAUUUGUGAAGAAUUACUCUUGGAAACAGAUAGGAUGAAAAUGUGGUAUGAGUUUAUGAGGAGUUUAUGUAUGUAUCUGAUCCUGGGCCAGGAACAGAUUCCAAGCAUAUCCACAGAGUUGGUCGCACAUGUGAAUGUCCUGGAAAACCUAGCCAUAAUUCUAUUUCCCCAAGUUGCUCAGCCCCUGACUGAAAUGUUCUUGGAAACAUAAAUAUGCAGAAGAAAUCAGGACGGCUUAUGUGAUUGUUUUUUUUACAGAGGAAUGUUUUAAUCUUUGUAGCAAAUAAGGUUAGGAUUCCCCAAGAUUUGUUCACCAUAUUCUGAUUAAAAUUCUAACAAUAUUAAGAAUCAUUUACCUCUCCACUAAAGCAAUUUAAUAGCUCCCAACUUGCACAAAAUUACAGUCUGUUUUACACACAAAGGAAACAGAAAGAAAAUGGAAAGUACGAGGCAUUAAGAGAGUUAAACUGGAAAAGCCUAACCACAAAAUUCCAAGUAUUUUAAUAGAUAUUCUUGGUUUUCCCUGGGCUUUAAGGAAAAUUUGCUACUUUUGCAAUUGAAAUCACAUUGGUUUGUAAAGGCUAGUCUAGUGAGAAACAGAGGUUCAUAAAAUCUUUAGGUGAGAGGAAGCUUUUGAAAUUCCACCUGCACGGAAAUCUUUCCCGCUGAAGGUUGUUUACCCAAUUUCCUAGCUGAGUCCUUCCAGUGAUAAGUACCUUGUUAGUGCACAAGUCAGUUCAUUCUAUUGUUGAAGACAUCAAAUGGCAAAAAAAUGUUCUUCCUUAUAUAAUUCAAAUGCCAUUCACCUUUUCAGCCUCUGAAAAUUUGUAAAAUUAUGUUUCCAUUAAAACCCAAAUUGUGCUGACUUUGAGUCCCUAUGGGCCCUUGUAAGAAAUUGAGUUUAUGUUCUAGAACACUUCCCAGGGUUGGGUUUGGUUUUGUUUUGUUGUUUGUUUUUUGUUUGUUUGUUUGUUUGAUUCUUCCAGGAUGUUGCUUCACAUGUGACCUCAGUUCCAGCCCAGUUCUCACACUCUGGUCCUGUUAUCAAUCUGCCAUGCUACUGGCUUGAACCCAGAUGGUCCUUAUAAGGUGGCCAUCUCUUGGCUGGACACAGCUGGCUGUCACUGAUGGUUACUAAUUUGGGACUACAAUUCUUCCUUUGGUUAUCCAUCCCAGGCGUAGAGCAAAAUCUUUAUGUAAUUCUCUAUAGCACCAGCUGUAACUUUCAUUAAGAUUUAUCAAAGACUUGGGAUUAUUUGCUAUUUGCUUGUCCUUGAAGACUACAAACCAUGGAGCUCUCAAAACACACACCCUAUAUAGUCCCUGGUUUUCUUACGGCAGACACAAUUCACGGUCCAAGCGUCCUGGGGUCCAAGAUUCACCAGGCCAAGGAAGAGAAAGACAUUAACCCUCACACCGAUCUCAGGUCUACAUAACUCUAUCCCCAAACCUACUUUUUUCUGGGUAAUUAACCUUGAGAUUCAAGAGCAAUUAUGUUAAUAUGUAACGACCCAAUGUCGGUAAUUUCCCUGAAGUGUGGGUUUUCCAGUUUCAGGAAAUAUUAAGUAAAGGCCCUUCUAUCAGGAAAGGUUCUUGCAGGAACUAACAGAAAACAACUGUGGUUAACUUAAACAGAAGAGAAAUGUGUUGGAAGGAGUGUAGAUGGCUCCCGAAUUCAGGCUCGGAAGACAGAUAGCGACCUGUAGUGGUUAGGCUGAAGAACAGCUCACGUCCAGUCGCAGCUGGGCCAAGAAGGUGGCCCUGGCAGAGCCACCUCUGGACACUUGUGUCAACUGUCACUGCCAGACUCUCUAUCCCUUUUACCUUUGGACCCGAAACUAGUGUUGUGUAAUAGAAAUUUCCACAACAAUGAAAGUGUAUCUUUACUGUCAACAAGUAGCCACUAGCCACAUGUGACUAUUGAGCAUUUGAAAUGUAUCUGAAGAACUGAAUUUUUACCCUUAUUUAAUUUUUAUUAAAAUGAAUUUAAGGAGCACCUGAGUAGCUCAGUCAGUGAA